CAGUCGCCGCGGUAAGACAGAGGAUGCAAGCGUUAUCCAGAAUGAUUGGGUGUAAAGCGUCUGUAGGUGGCUUUUCAAGCCCGCCGUCAAAUCCUAGGGCUCAACCCUGGACAGGCAGUGGAAACUACCAAGCUGGAGUACGGUAGGGGUAGAGGGAAUUUCCGGUGGAGUGGUAAAAUGCGUUGAGAUCGGAAAGAACACCAAUGGCGAAAGCACUCUGCUGGGCCGACACUGACACUGAGAGACGAAAGCUAGGGGAGCAAAUGGGAUUAGAUACCCCUGUAGUCCCUGUCUCUUAUAC
rnacentral:rRNA from 1 species